UACGGGGGGGGGCAAGCGUUGUUCGGAAUUACUGGGCGUAAAGGGCUCGUAGGCGGCCAACUAAGUCAGACGUGAAAUCCCUCGGCUUAACCGGGGAACUGCAUCUGAUACUGGAUGGCUAGAGGUUGGGAGAGGGAUGCGGAAUUCCAGGUGUAGCGGUGAAAUGCGUAGAUAUCUGGAGGAACACCGGUGGCGAAGGCGGCAUCCUGGACCAAUUCUGACGCUGAGGAGCGAAAGCCAGGGGGAGCAAACGGG
rnacentral:rRNA from 1 species